rnacentral:rRNA from 1 species
GUGGGGAAUAUUCCGCAAUGGACGAAAGUCUGACGGAGCAACGCCGCGUGAGUGAUGAAGGUUUUCGGACUGUAAAGCUCUGUUGUUUAGGACGAAAGUGCCUGUUGCGAAUAGUUACAGGUAUUGACGGUACUGAACGAGGAAGCCACGGCUAACUACGUGCCAGCAGCCGCGGUAAUACGUAGGUGGCAAGCGUUGUCCGGACUUAUUGGGCGUAAAGAGCAUGUAGGCGGGAAUCUAAGUCUGUUGUGAAAAUGCGGGGCUCAACCCCGUAUUGCGAUGGAAACUGGGUUUCUUGAGUGCAGGAGAGGAAAGGGGAAUUCCCAGUGUAGCGGUGAAAUGCGUAGAUAUUGGGAGGAACACCAGUGGCGAAGGCGCCUUUCUGGACUGUGUCUGACGCUGAGAUGCGAAAGCCAGGGUAGCGAACGGGAUUAGAUACCCCGGUAGUCC